rnacentral:rRNA from 1 species
UACGGAGGGUGCGAGCGUUGUCCGGAAUCACUGGGCGUAAAGGGCGCGUAGGUGGCCGAGCAAGGUCGCGGUGAAAGCCCGGGGCUCAACCCCGGGUCGGCCGUGGCAACUACUGGGCUGGAGCACUGUAGGGGCAGAUGGAAUUCCGGGUGUAGCGGUGGAAUGCGUAGAGAUCCGGAAGAACACCGGUGGCGAAGGCGGUCUGCUGGGCAGUUGCUGACACUGAGGCGCGACAGCGUGGGGAGCAAACAGG